GAUGAACGCUGGCGGCGUGCCUAAUACAUGCAAGUCGAGCGGACAGACAAGGAGCUUGCUCCUCUGACGUUGGCGGCGGACGGGUGAGUAACACGUGGAUCACCUUCCUCUAUUACUGGGAUGACUUCGUGAAGCCGGUGCUACUACCGGCUAAUAUAUUGAACCGCAUGGAUCAAUAGUGAAUGACGCUUUUGCUGUCUCUUAUAGAUGAAUCCGCGCCGCAUUAGCUAGUUGGUAAGGUAACGGCUUACCAAGGCAACGAUGCGUAGCCGACCUGAGAGGGUGAUCGGCCACACUGGAACUGAGACACGGUCCAGACUCCUACGGGAGGCAGCAGUAGGGAAUCUUCCGCAAUGGGCGAAAGCCUGACGGAGCAACGCCGCGUGAGUGAUGAAGGUCUUCGGAUCGUAAAGCUCUGUUAUUAGGGAAGAACAAAUGUGUAAUUAACUAUGCACGUCUUGACGGUACCCAAUCAGAAAGCCACGGCUAACUACGUG
rnacentral:rRNA from 1 species